UAGGGAAUAUUGGACAAUGGGGGCAACCCUGAUCCAGCCAUGCCGCGUGAGUGAAGAAGGCCCUCGGGUUGUAAAGCUCUUUUGUCCGGAAAGAAAAGCUUCGGGUUAAUACCCCGGGGUUCUGACGGUACCGGAAGAAUAAGCACCGGCUAACUUCGUGCCAGCAGCCGCGGUAAUACGAAGGGUGCAAGCGUUACUCGGAAUUACUGGGCGUAAAGCGUGCGUAGGUGGUUGUUUAAGUCUGAUGUGAAAGCCCUGGGCUCAACCGGGGAAUGGCAGUGGAAACUGGGCAGCUAGAGUGCGGUAGAGGGUAGUGGAAUUCCCGGUGUAGCAGUGAAAGGCGUAGAGAUCGGGAGGAACAUCUGUGGCGAAGGCGACUGCCUGGACCAGCACUGACACUGAGGCACGAAAGCGUGGGGAGCAAACA
rnacentral:rRNA from 1 species